UCAUCUACCGUGGCUCCUCAUCUCAUCUGGUCUUGGGAGCUAAGCAGGGCCAGGCCUGGUUAGUACAUGGAUGGGAGAAAUGGUCAUCUAGCCAGCCACCACCAAGGAAGCCCUGCAUGGC
ensembl:rRNA 5S_rRNA 5S ribosomal RNA